UACGUAGGGCGCAAGCGUUGUCCGGAAUUAUUGGGCGUAAAGAGCUCGUAGGCGGUCUGUCGCGUCGGCUGUGAAAUCCCGAGGCUCAACCUCGGGUCUGCAGUCGAUACGGGCAAACUAGAGUAUUGCAGGGGAGACUGGAAUUCCUGGUGUAGCGGUGAAAUGCGCAGAUAUCAGGAAGAACACCAAUGGCGAAAGCAGCUUUCUGGGACGGUACUGACGCUGAGACGCGAAAGCGUGGGGAGCGAACAGG
rnacentral:rRNA from 1 species